AACUUUCAGCAACGGAUCUCUUGGCUCUCGCAUCGAUAAAGAACGCAGCGAAAUGCGAUAAGUAAUGUGAAUUGCAGAAUUCAGUGAAUCAUCAAAUCUUUGAACGCACCUUGCGCCCUUUGGCUAUUCCGAAGGGCAUGCCUGUUUGAGUAUC
rnacentral:rRNA from 1 species